rnacentral:rRNA from 1 species
CCUGGUUGAUCCUGCCAGUAGCAUAUGCUUGUCUCAAGGAUCAAGCCAUGAACGUGUAAGUACACAUGGCUGGAGUAGUGAAACUGCGAAUGACCCAUCAAAUCAUUAAUGAUUCCUAAGUUCACUCCAUCUGUCACUUGGAUAACUGAGGUAAUUGCAUAAACAAUACAUUCCGAUGAGCGCUGACCUCCUGGGAUGCAUGCAUCAAUCAGAUCAAGAUCAACCAGGGCUGGCCUGACUGCUAUGGUGACUCUAGACAACCUUGGGGUAUUUGCACCUCCCUGUGAUGGCAACAAUACAGUUGGAUGUCUGCCCUAUCCACUUUAAAUUGUAGUGUCUGUCCCUACCAUGGUUACCACUGUUAACGGGGAAUCAUGGUUCGAUACCGUUAGGGGGAGCCUGAGAAAUGGCUACCACAUCCAAGGAAAUCAGCUCAUGACUCUGUGAGAUAGUGAUGAAAAAUAACUAUACAGGACUCUUACGAGUCCCAGUAAUUGGAAUGAGUGCACUUUAAAUCCAUUAACAAGUAUCCAUCAGAGUACAAGUCUGAUGCCAGCAUAUGCCAUAAUUCCAGCUCAAAUAGCGUAUCUGAAAGUUGCUGCAAAUAUAAAUGCAUGUAGUUGGAUCUAGGAAUCAAGCUGGUGGUCUGCUGUGAAAUGAGCGACUGUUUGUCCCAAUCCCUGCCUCUCAGCGCCUCCUUGAUGUGCUUGACUAAGUGUCCUGGCGAUCAAAAGCAUUUAAUUAGACUAAAUCAAGAGUGUUCAAAGCAGGUUGUUUAUUUGAAUACCUCAGCCAGGAUUAACUGAAUAUGACUCUGCUUCGAUUGUGUUGGUUGGUGGAACUGUGGCCAUGAUGAAGAGGGGCAGCUGGGGACUUCAUAAUGUUCUGCUAGAGUUGUAACUUUUGUAAUGGGGCAAAAUGAUUCAAAGUGAAAGCAUUACCCAAGAAUGCCUUUAUCAAUUCAAAUGAAAGUCUGAGGUUUGAAGAUGAUCGGAUAAUGUUGUAGGUGCAACCAUUAAAAGAUGGGGAUUAGUUGUCUGGUAGCGCGAUUCCCAUUACCUGCUGAGUGGCUUCCGUUCAAGCAUAGUCUCAGAGUUCUGGGAUGACUAUGCUUUCAAAGCAGAAACAUAAAGGAAUUGAAGCAAGGGCACCAGCAGGAGUGGAGCCCCUGGCUUGAAUUGACUCAACAUGGGAAACCUCACCCAGUCUGGACACGGAAAGGAUUGUCAGAUUGAUGGCUCCAUUUGCAUUCUGUUGGGUGUAUGUGUAUGGCCGUUCAUAGUUGGCCGGAGCAAUUUGUGUGGUCAAUUCUGAUAAUGAAUGAGACUCCAGGAUGCCAACUAGUCAUGCGACACCCAGUGGUUGGCGUUCAACUUCUUAGAGGGACAAAUGGCGUUCAGCCACAGGAGAUCAAUCAAGAACAGGUCUGUGAUGCCCUUAGAUGUCCGUAGAUGCAUGUGUGCCACACUGAAAGGAUCACUGUGAGUCUACCCUUCGACAGCAUGCGCAGGUAACCUGCUAAUCCCUGUGUGAUAGGGAUGGGGGAAAGUAAUCUAAUGACAUGAAUGAGGAAUUCCCAGCAAGUGCGGAUCAUAAUCUUGCUUUUAUGGAGUUUAUGCGCUUCGUAUACACUGCCUGUUUCCACCAUCAAUUGGACAGUUCAGUGAGGUCCUAGGAUUGCCCCCUGCCCGGGUUGGCAGCACCCCUGAUGGUAAACACAGAAGACAAUCAAACACGAUUAUCUAGAAAUAAGUCGUAGAAGAUUCCUGUAGGUGAACCUGCCGAAG